AGAGAGAGAGAGAGAGAAAGAGGGGAAAAGAAAAAAUAAAAAUAAAAGAAAAUUUUAAAUUCAACUAACUAACAAAAUAUUAUUUUAUUUCAAUUUCAACCAAUUCUAGUCAACUAGACAUAAUUUUCGCUUGGAUGCCUCCAAUUCAAAGUGGAUUGUGUGCUUUAAGGCCACUAAUGAAGACCAAAAAACUGGCUCCCCUCAUAAGUCUGUAUCAAAACAACUCACUUGUGGCAGUGCAAGAGAAACUCCUCAACUUAGUAAAUGCUCAAUGUGAGAUUAGUAGUCCUUGAUACUGCCCAUUUAUUCAACUUUGUAAGAUCACCAAAGAAGUCUUCAUAGUGAGUGGGGCCAAACUAUUUGUUCAAACCCUCUAAGUUGGUCCAAACCAAAUCAAAAUCUUUAACCCAAUGUAGUUGUGCAUCAUUCUCAAGAUGACAAGAAGCAAGAAGCACCUGAUCAUUGGAAUCCUUUGCAACUCCAAAAAUUGCUGUGUCCAACAAACCCAGCUAAUUGGGUCCUCAUCACCAUAAUACCUUGGGAAAUAACACUUCACAAGCUUAGGGAUUGUAGAAAUUGCACUUCCUUAAGCUACACUCCAAGUUAUCCCACCCCUAUGAUUAGAAUUUACAAGUAUUUUUGAAACUUUGUGCAUGACAAGAGUGCACAUGCUUCAAGAUAUACACUACUGCAAUUGCUUAAGAAUAAAUUCUUCAUUGAACACUUGAGAAAAACCAUAUUAAUUCUCUAAGGUAGCCAAACCAUUAUCACCCAUGCGGGGUCUGAUACCAGAUUGACUCAUGCCUUAGUUUGAAAUCAAGUGGGAGGACUCUGAAUAAAGGAUCAAUGGAUCUGCUGCAGGAACAUGGAUCUUGCUUUCUAGCUUGGUUCUUUCAUUUACCUAUCUUUAGCAACUCUUGUUGAAGGCCUUAGAAGAAUGUAAAAACACAUCUAAAAGAUUUAAGUUAAGGCAUCCAAAAAGAAACUUACAUAUUCAGCUCAAAAGAAAGUUCCUCCAAUAAACUGUAUAACUAGAACUACAAACUAGAGUGUGUAUGUAGAUUCUACUAUUAGAAAAGGUAAACUGAACAUCUUAUAGAUUUCAUUGAAUUUAAUAUUCGGGGUAUAGAUGUGAAAAUAGUUCACUUAUUUAAAAUUCAAAUAGAUAAAUUAAAUUGUAAAAUAAUACCAUGGUUGCAAUAUUUCAUGUAUCUGUAAUGCCCUUUGAGGGUUGUAGAAGAAGGAGAGAAUUCAUUACCAUUGACAGGCAGAGACAAGGUGACAGGUAAAUUCUAUAAGAGACCAGGCCAACUCCUACGCAGAGUGAGUAAAAGCCAAUUGCAAGAAGUCUAGAAUUUCAACUUAAGAAAAGACCUUUGGAAAAAGCUUAUUACUGAAAUAGAAACGAAGAGAGAUCCACAACUAAGCUUUCCUUUAUCCCAAACCAAACUGACAUAUUAUAAAUGCUAGAAGAAAGGCUGAAAAUUGCAGCAGAAGAAAAAUAAUUAAACAAGAAUCGCCAUUAUAGUAACGCACGAAUCGCAUCAAACAGCAAAUCAAAACACCAGAUAAUAAUAAAAAUAAAAGAAUUAAAGUAAUCAAAUUAAGCAAUCAUAAUUGAGGAUUUUGUAUUUCUUCUCUAAGGAACCAAACAGAAAAUGAGAGAGAGAGACGGCGAGAGAGACCUUGUUGGAGGGUACGAGGGAUGCCGAUGCAGCGAGGAUUGUUGCCGUUGGAUUUGAGAUAGGAAGAAUAAUAGAGAUAUCCUUUGCAUGAUUUACCUUUGGAACCUCCUUCUCCUCCAGCUUCUAUUUGAUUUUGGUUUUUUUCCGCUUUCUCGUCUCUUCCUCCUACUUGUUUAUUCCCAUCCAUGCCAGCCUUCUAAACCUCCCUCUCUCUCUCCCCUUGUAUAGCGCAAGAGGGCGCAAUGGUCUCUCUCUCUCUCUCUCU
rnacentral:misc_RNA from 1 species